CACGUAGGGGGCAAGCGUUGUCCGGAUUUAUUGGGCGUAAAGAGCUCGUAGGCGGCUCAGUAAGUCAGGUGUGAAACCUCCAGGCUCAACCUGGAGACGCCACCUGAUACUGCUGUGGCUAGAGUCCGGUAGGGGAGCGUGGAAUUCCUGGUGUAGCGGUGAAAUGCGCAGAUAUCAGGAGGAACACCAGCGGCGGAAAGGCGGGCGCUCUGGGCCGGAACUGACGCUGGAGGAGCGAAAGCGUGGGUAGCAAACAGG
rnacentral:rRNA from 1 species